AUACUUACCUGGCCGAGGCGAUACCAUGAUCACGAAGGUGGUUUUCCCAGGGCGAGGCUCAUCCAUUGCACUCCAGCUGUGCUGACCCCUGAGAUUUCCCCAAAUGUGGGAAACUCGGCUGUAUAAUUUGUGGUCUUCGGGGACUAUGUUCGCACUCUCCUGAU
ensembl:snRNA U1 U1 spliceosomal RNA